GACAGAGGUGCCAAGCGUAGGCGGAAUUACUGGGCGUAAAGCGUGCGCAGGCGGUUUUGUAAGUCUGUCGUGAAAUCCCCGGGCUCAACCUGGGAAUUGCGAUGGAGACUGCAAGGCUGGAGUCUGGCAGAGGGGGGUAGAAUUCCACGUGUGAGCAGUGAAAAUGCGUAGAGAUGUGGAGGAACACCGAUGGCGAAGGCAGCCCCCUGGGUCAAGACUGACGCUCAUGCACGAAAGCUGGGGAGCAAACAGG
rnacentral:rRNA from 1 species